GUUGGAAAAUUCAAAAACAUUUCAGUUUUUUUCAAGAUCGCGACAAAAUCUUGGCUGAUACAACAAUAAGAUUACCAAUUACUUAAGACACUCAAUUUGAAGUCUAUUGAUUAAAAAUAUCAUUUUCAAGGAAGCUACAAGGUUAUGGGGAAAUAUUCAUCCAAUCAUCGGCACAAUCCUCAUCAAAUGACCCAAACGAAAUUCGCUGUGCAAAAUUUUCUGAUAUAAAUAAAUUCCUCGUAAUAAGGAUUUACCAGACGCUAGUGAUAACAUCUCUUCUGCUCUUAGUUUGUAUUCGCGAAUUAUUAGGGUUGUAAAGAAACAUCCGGGAAGCCAUGCGGUGCAUCUUUUUCGGACCAAAUCAUACCGAAAAGCUUGUUAUCUAAUUUCCUCUUGGUAUCUAUAUUUGCUCCUGCACCGCGAACCCAAUUCUAGGGUUCCGGCAUCAAUCGGAAACUGUGAGUACGUGGAGACCUCCAGCUCAAUUUGGAUCCAAUCACCCGAAUCUGCCGGAUCUGGGGAGAUUAGAGCAACAAGGCGUUUCCCAAGGAGUAAGGCCCUGCUUUGUGUUCACAAAUUUCAUUCGCUUCUCUCAAUCCGAAGCUCAACAAGGUUACGUCUCGAUCCAUUUCACCCAGUUCUGAGGUUAGGGUUCAUUCGCUUCUCUCAAUCCGAAGCUCAACAAGGUUACGUCUCGAUCCAUUUCACCCAGUUCUGAGAUUAGGGUUUGGAGGCGAUGCGCUCUCCACGUAGAAGUUGAUGCAUUUUUUUAUAUAUUCUGAGAGGAAUUCGGGUUUUCAGAUUCUCGCAUUUAAACUGGAGUUCCCUUGAAAAGAUUGAAUCUUGUGGCGAUUUUUGUGGUUAAUUGGGGAUAUCUGCUGAGACGAGGCAUAAAGAUUUGAUCUUGGGGCUUGAGAGAUGUACCAGCGUGGGGACGUAGGUGCCACGCGGGGUGGGAUGGCGACGGACAGCGGAGAUGUGGUGGUGACGCUCGAUCAGGUGCCGAGGUGGAGCGAUGCGGACCAGCGAGCCUACGGCGGUGGGGAUCCUUCGUCGCCCUUCUCCUACUUUUCGGAUCCUCUCACUUCGUCUUCGGGAGCUGAGACCGUGGGUAAUGGGGUGGUCUCGAGGUUUCCCGUGGAUCAUGAAAUCAAUUCGAAGAUAUAUCUGUGGCGUGGGAACCCGUGGAAUCUUGAGGUUGAUGCUGUUGUGAAUUCCACUAAUGAGAGCCUGGAAGAAGCACAUAGCAGCCCUGGUUUGCAUGCCGCUGCUGGACCUGGUCUUGCAGAAGAAUGCGCUACAUUGGGUGGAUGUCGAACUGGAAUGGCAAAAGUGACCAAUGCAUAUGAUCUCCCUGCUAGAAAGGUUAUUCAUACCGUUGGUCCUAAGUAUGCUGUCAAGUAUCAUACUGCUGCCGAGAAUGCACUUAGCCAUUGCUAUCGUUCUUGCUUGGAGCUUCUGAUUGAGAGUGGUUUUCGAAGCAUUGCCACAGGCUGUAUAUAUACAGAGGGGAAGAACUAUCCUCGCGAGCCAGCUGCACAUGUUGCAAUAAGGACUGUCAGGCGGUUUCUGGAGAAGCAGAAGGAUAAAAUAACUGCAGUUGUUUUUUGUACUACCACAUCAUCUGAUACAGAAAUAUAUAAAAGAUUACUUCCACUUUACUUCCCUAGGGAUGAGCAUGAAGAAGAGAUUGCAGUGUCUAAGCUUCCAGCAGAUGUAGGGGAUGAGAAUGGUGAGACAGUAAUAGAUGAACGAAAGAUCAGAAUAAAACCAUUGCCUGCAGUGUCAGUGUCUGUUCCGAAACCUUUAGCAUCCCCAGUUGCUUCUCCUGUUGCUGAUGUUGGACUGACAGCGAGACGCAGGAAUUCUUUCAAGCUAGAUUCAUAUCUGGAUCCUGCAUUUAUGUCAUUGAUUAAGGACCCUGAUCAGCGAAGCAGGGACCAGUGGGAAAAGGUGGCCCAAGCACAAAGUGGAUUUAACUGUGCUAAGCUGCUGGGGUUUGGUGAUCUAGGUGGCCCUCCAUUAUCUGCAGCUGAGGAGUACUCACUUCAUUCCAGAUAUCUUUCUAAAGCAAAUUCUCUUAAUCUUUCAGAGAUUGGUGAAAUGAAAAUUGUCUAUCGUGGUGGAGUAGACAGUGAGGGACGUCCUGUAAUGGUUGUAGUAGGAGCUCACUUUCUUUUACGGUGUCUUGAUUUGGAACGGUUUGUUCUCUAUGUAGUGAAGGAGUUUGAGCCCCUGAUCCAGAAGCCUUACACAAUUGUUUAUUUUCAUUCUGCGGCAAACUUACAAUUGCAACCAGAUCUAGGGUGGAUGAAGCGUUUGCAGCAGAUACUUGGUCGAAAACACCAGCGUAAUCUACAUGUUUGUACCAAGUUUGAGCUCAGGCAAUUUAUGUUCUCCAUCCAACCCUGGGUCUGAGGGCUGCACUCUUUUCUUUGCAGCUAUUUGUUGAUGGAGAAGUGUGGAAAAAGGUUGUAUAUGUUGAUCAACUUUUGCAGCUGUUCAGAUAUGUGCCUCGUGAGCAGUUGACUAUUCCUGACUUCGUGUUUCAACAUGAUCUUGAGGUGAAUGGAGGAAAGGGUCUAAUUGUUGAUCCAAGAACAAAGUAUAUUUACCAAAGGCCCUCUGGAUGACCUCCUGGUUUUCUUCAGUGUCUCGUUUGAUCAUUGUCCAUGUAAAGGCAAUUUCCCCGUCUCUUGAAUCAUCAAGUUUCGCAAGUUGGAAUUCUUUGAUUGUAUUUUCCACAAUGGGAAAGAAUAGGAAAUAAACGCUGUGCCCGGUUUACGUUAAAGACGGUGGCUUUCUUGCUGUUUGCAGCAUGCUCUUUCUCUUGCUCGCAGGCAGGAAUCUGUAGAAAGGGGAAAAAAGAUUUGACAGGGGAAAAAAAAUAGAUGUAUAGUUAGAAUUUUCGAUUUGUCGGGAAGCAGCAAAUGUAAAACUUGACCUUUUCCUUUAAUACAGUAGGGCAGAUUUACAUUGUCGUUUCCUUGUAUCUUUGAUGAUUGUGAACUCGGUUAAAGGAUUAUUCUAAAAGAAAGAAUGGAAAUGUUUUUAGAAAGGA